GUUCAUCAACUGAUACCUACUGCAGUUCCUAUGCUAGCCCGGCGACCGAGCUCCUCAGCCUUGGAGGGUCCCUCAUCCUGCACACAGCGAGGGCACUUCAUAAACGUGUUGCAUGCGGUCUUUGAAAAAAGUAAAUAACACCAUCCUGGUUAACAGUCACGGAAACUAAAGCUCCA
rnacentral:lncRNA from 1 species